CAAGGGGUAGUUUAUUUUAAAAUAUUAACUUUGGGAGUUAAUGAAAAAGAAUUUCUUUUCUCUUGA
rnacentral:tRNA from 1 species